rnacentral:rRNA from 1 species
UGAGGAAUAUUGGACAAUGGGCGCAAGCCUGAUCCAGCCAUGCCGCGUGUGUGAAGAAGGUCUUCGGAUUGUAAAGCACUUUAAGUUGGGAGGAAGGGCAGUAAGUUAAUACCUUGCUGUUUUGACGUUACCGACAGAAUAAGCACCGGCUAACUCUGUGCCAGCAGCCGCGGUAAUACAGAGGGUGCAAGCGUUAAUCGGAAUUACUGGGCGUAAAGCGCGCGUAGGUGGUUUGUUAAGUUGGAUGUGAAAUCCCCGGGCUCAACCUGGGAACUGCAUUCAAAACUGACAAGCUAGAGUAUGGUAGAGGGUGGUGGAAUUUCCUGUGUAGCGGUGAAAUGCGUAGAUAUAGGAAGGAACACCAGUGGCGAAGGCGACCACCUGGACUGAUACUGACACUGAGGUGCGAAAGCGUGGGGAGCAAACAGGAUUAGAUACCCAGGUAGUCCCUGAGCGGGCUGGCAAGGCGCAU